UCGAGAGGCUUUGGCAAUGGGGGAAACCCUGACCAAGCGACGCCGCGUGGAGGAUGAAGGCCCUUGGGUUGUAAACUCCUUUUGCUAGGGAAGAAAUGCGAUCAGGUGAACAAUCUGGUCGUUUGACGGUACCUGGCGAAUAAGCUCCGGCUAACUCCGUGCCAGCAGCCGCGGUAACACGGGGGGAGCAAGCGUUGUUCGGAAUUACUGGGCGUAAAGGGCGUGUAGGCGGUCAGGUAAGUGGGACGUGAAAUCCCUCGGCUCACCCGAGGACCUGCAUCCCAAACUGCCUGACUUGAGUAUGGGAGAGGAUGAGGGAAUUCCUGGUGUAGCGGUGAAAUGCGUAGAUAUCAGGAGGAACACCGGUGGCGAAGGCGCUCAUCUGGCCCAAUACUGACGCUGAGGCGCGAAAGCUAGGGUAGCGAACGGG
rnacentral:rRNA from 1 species